UCGCAGCGCUCGGAAGUGAUUCUCUACCACGUCCAGCCUGGAGCUGUUUGAGGCCCGGACUCAGACCCCGGCGGGCCGUGGGUCCGGGGUGCCCCGGCUGCCCCCGAAAGCCUCUCCUGCUGGCUAGGGGAGAGACUAGCCGCUCGCGGCGUGGAGGAACUUGGCAUCAGGCUGGCGUGGAGGCAAGAACCGCAGAGUGUAGCCGUGGUCACUAUUUGCCAUUAACACUUUCUUGGGUGGCAAGUGAAGGAUUAAGGGAAGAGAGCUGGCGUGAUGGCUCCCGGCCGCUCGGGAAGGUCUAAGAGAUGGUCGAGAUUCGUCCCCCCCCGUUUCAUCGUGUCAUUGACAAGGCGAGGACAGUACUCCUGCAAAGACUGUAACAACACAAACUGGAGAUGAUAUAAGGUACAAGAAGAAAGCACUUAAAUUACUAUCUGAUCAAAACAUUUAAUUCUAUGUCUCCAAAGGCAAAGGAAACAAAGGCAAAAAGGAACUAUUGGGACUUCAUCAAGAUAAAAAGCUUUUGCACAGGAAAGGAAACAGUCCACAAACCCAAAAGACAACGGACAGAAUGGGAGAAGAUAUUUGCAAAUGUCUUAUCAGAUAAAGGGCUAGUAUUCACAAUAUAAAGACUUAUCCAACUCAACAUCCAAAGAACAAAUAAUCCGAUCAAGAAAUGGGCAGAAGACAUGAACAGACACUUCUCCAAAGAAGACAUACAAAUGGCCAAUAGACACAUGAAAAAAUGCUCCACAUCGCUUGCCAUCAGGGAAAUACAAAUCAAAACCACAAUGUGACACCACUUCACACCAGUCAGAAUGGCUAAAAUUAACAAGUCAGGAAAUGACAAAUGUUGGUGAGGAUGCAGAGAAAGGGGAACCCUCCUACACUGUUGGUGGGAAUGUAAGCUGGUACAGUCACUCUGGAAAACGGUAUGGAGAUUCCUCAAAAAAUUGAAAAUAGAGCUACCCUAUGACCCAGCAAUUGUACUACUGGGUAUUUACCCCAAAGAUAGUGAUCCGAAGGGGCACCUGCACCCCAAUGUUUAUAGCAGCAAUGUCCACAAUAGCCUAACUAUGGAAAGAGCCCAGAUGUCCAUCAACAGAUGAAUGGAUAAAGAAGAUGUGGCAUGCUACUCAGCCAUCAAAAAAAAAAAAAAAAGAAAAGAAAUCUUGCCAUUUGCAAUGACGUGGAUGGAA